rnacentral:rRNA from 1 species
GAUGAACGCUGGCGGCAGGCCUAACACAUGCAAGUCGAACGGUAACAGAGAGUAGCUUGCUACUUUGCUGACGAGUGGCGGACGGGUGAGUAAUGUCUGGGGAUCUGCCUGAUGGAGGGGGAUAACUACUGGAAACGGUAGCUAAUACCGCAUAAUGUCGCAAGACCAAAGCGGGGGACUUUCGGGCCUCGCACCAUCAGAUGAACCCAGAUGGGAUUAGCUAGUAGGUAGGGUAAUGGCUUACCUAGGCGACGAUCCCUAGCUGGUCUCAGAGGAUGACCAGGAACACUGGGACUGAGACACGGUCCAGACGCCGACGGGAGGCAGCAGUGGGGAAUAUUGCACAAUGGGCGCAAGCCUGAUGCAGCCAUGCCGCGUGUAUGAAGAAGGCCUUCGGGUUGUAAAGUACUUUCAGUCAGGAGGAAGGGUGUGAAAUUAAUACUUUCAUGCAUUGACGUUACUGACAGAAGAAGCACCGGCUAACUCCGUGCCAGCCGCCGCCGUAA